UACGUAGGGGGCAAGCGUUGUCCGGAUUUAUUGGGCGUAAAGAGCGUGUAGGCGGCCUGGUAGGUCAGUUGUGAAAACUCGAGGCUCAACCUCGAGACGCCGAUUGAAACCACCAGGCUAGAGUCCGGAAGAGGAGAGUGGAAUUCCCGGUGUAGCGGUGAAAUGCGCAGAUAUCGGGAAGAACACCCGUGGCGAAGGCGGCUCUCUAGUACGGUACUGACGCUGAGACGCGAAAGCGUGGGAAGCGAACAGG
rnacentral:rRNA from 1 species